GACGAACGCUGGCGGCGCGCUUAACACAUGCAAGUCGAACGGAAAGGCCUGCUUUCCCUUGUGGAUUGCGGGUACUCGAGUGGCGAACGGGUGAGUAACACGUGAGUGAUCUGCCCCCAACUUGGGUAUAAGCCUGGGAAACUGGGUCUAAUUCCCGAUAGGACUGCAGGGUGGUGCCUGUGGUGGAAAACGAUUUUCUAGUGGUUGGGGAUGAGCUCGCGGCCUAUCAGCUUGUUGGUGGGGUAAUGGCCUACCAAGGCGGCGACGGGUAGCCGGCCUGAGAGGGUGGACGGGCACAUUGGGACUGAGAUACGGCCCAGACUCAUACGGGAGGCAGGAGUGGGGAAUAUUGCACGAUGGGCGGAAGCCUGAUGCAGCGACGCCGCGUGGGGGAUGACGGCCUUCGGGUUGUAAACUCCUUUCGACCGCGAGGAAGCCACCUGGUUGGAAGGGUGGUGACGGUAGUGGUAGAAGAAGCACCGGCUAACUACGUG
rnacentral:rRNA from 1 species